rnacentral:rRNA from 1 species
GGGCCCGCACAAGCAGCGGAGCAUGUGGUUUAAUUCGAAGCAACGCGAAGAACCUUACCAGGGCUUGACAUCGCCUGAAUUAUGUAGAGAUACAUAAGUCUCUUCGGAGACAGGUAGACAGGUGGUGCAUGGUUGUCGUCAGCUCGUGUCGUGAGAUGUUGGGUUAAGUCCCGCAACGAGCGCAACCCUUAUUUUUAGUUGCCAUCAAGUAAAGUUGGGCACUCUAGAGAGACUGCCGGGGAUAACUCGGAGGAAGGUGGGGAUGACGUCAAAUCAUCAUGCCCCUUAUGUCCUGGGCUACACACGUGCUACAAUGGCCAUAACAAAGGGAAGCGAGACCGCAAGGUGGAGCAGAUCCCGGAAAGAUGGUCCCAGUUCGGAUUGUGGGCUGCAACCCGCCCACAUGAAGUUGGAGUUGCUAGUAAUCGCGAAUCAGCAUGUCGCGGUGAAUACGUUCCCGGGCCUU